GAAGUUCAGGGAAACAUCUUACCAAGAAUAUCCAAGGGGAGCCGGCGAGUCCCAGUGCGAGUGGAGGGUGCCAGAGGUAGGGGGCCGAGAAACAAAGUUCCCGGGGCUCCCUCCAGGGCCGUGGUCGGGGCUGCGCAUUUGGCCGCCCCCCUCCUCGCGAAGACAGUGGCUUCUAAACUCCUGCGCGCGGUCAUCCUCGGGCCACCCGGCUCGGGCAAGGGCACCGUGUGCCAGAGGAUCGCCCAGAACUUUGGCCUCCAGCAUCUCUCCAGCGGCCACUUCUUGGGGGAGAACAUCAAGGCCAACACCGAAGUUGGUGAGACAGCAUAGCAGUAUAUAGAGAGAAGUCUUUUGGUUCCAGACCAUGUGAUCACACGCCUAAUGAUGUCUGAGUUGGAGAAUAGGCGUGGCCAGCACUGGCUCCUUGAUGGUUUUCCUAGGACAUUAGGACAAGCCGAAGCCCUGGACAAAAUCUGUGAAGUGGAUCUAGUGAUCAGUUUGAACAUUCCAUUUGAAACACUUAAAGAUCGUCUCAGCCGCCGUUGAAUUCACCCUCCUAGCGGAAGGGUAUAUAACCUGGACUUCAAUCCACCUCAUGUACAUGGUAUUGAUGAUGUCACUGGUGAGCCAUUAGUCCAGCAGGAGGAUGAUAAACCCGAAGCAGUUGCUGCCAAGCUAGGACAGUACAAAGAUGUGGCAAAGCCAGUCAUUGAAUUAUACAAGAGCCGAGGAGUGCUCCACCAAUUUUCCGGAACGGAGACAAACAAAAUCUGGCCCUACAUUUACACACUUUUCUCGAACAAGAUCACACCUAUUCAGUCCAAAAGAAGCAUAUUGACCCUGCCCAAUGGAAGAACCAGGAAGAUGUGGUCAUUCAUUCAGUUGUGUGUGUAGUAUUGGUGCUGUGUCCAAAUUAGAAGCCAGCUGAGGUAGCUUACAGCAUCUUUUCUAGUUGAAAUGGUGAACUGAUCGGAAAACAAAUGAGUAGAAAGAGUUCACAGGAGGCCCUCCUCUGCCUUUCAAAAGGAAGGUCACCUACACAUGUUUAAGGUAUCUCUGCACAUGUCUCAAGCCCUUCACAAGAAAGCAAGUACAGUGUGGAUUUCAAAUGGUGUGUAACUUCAGCUCCAGCUGGUUUUUGACAGCUGUUGCUGUGGUAUUCUUUUUUACACGUGAUGGUGAUAGUAUCUGGUUCUCUCCAUCCCCACAAAGGCUGUUGAACCACAGCACCAGGAAGCCUGAGAAUGAAUCCUAAGGGCUGUAGCCCAGGCUUUGUCCCAGGUUUUCUGGUGUGUGCCCCCCCGGGUAACAGUGAAAUUGAAGCUACUUACUCACAGUGGUGGUUUCUCUGGUCUUGAGUGACUAUGUCCACAGUUCAUUUUUUUCCGGUGGGAAUAACUCCUUUUCUGUAUCCACACUCCAUAGAGUCUCUCCUUUUCAGACAUCCUGGGAUGAAAGAAUUUGGCUGUUUUUUUUGUUUUUGUUUUUGUUUUUGACAUCUGUUUUCACUUUUAGGCUGUUAAACAAAACUGAUAGUUACUGCUCUUAUCCUUCUCAAAUUCUUCUAAGAACUGAGAGUGAUGGGGCUGUAUUGAAUUUCUGUAUGCACCGGGAACUGAGCUAUGAAGAGGAUCUUAUUAAAUUGCUGGUCUGACUCUCAUGGAUUGACACUGUUCCUUUCUUUUAUUGUGAAAAAAAAAAAAAACCCUAAAAGUCUUGGGAACCCCCUAAAGUCUUUUGGGAAUCCUCAAAAAGCAUGGGAAGUAUAAGUAUUUAGCUACAUAAAUGUUGUAAGAUCAUAUCUUAUGUAUAGAAGUAAUAAGACCAUUUGGAAUUACUAGACUAAUUGAAUAGUUACGGUUUCUAUUCAGUACAACAAAAUGUAUUUUGAAAGUGCUACUAA